rnacentral:rRNA from 1 species
AGCGAACGCUGGCGGCAGGCCUAACACAUGCAAGUCGAGCGCGCCCUUCGGGGUUAGCUGCGGACGGGUGAGUAACGCGUGGGAACUUGCCCUUUUCUACGGAAUAGCCUCGGGAAACUGAGAGUAAUACCGUAUACGCCCUUAGGGGGUACGAGUUAUCGGGAAAGGAUCGGGCCGCGUUGGAUUAGGUAGUUGGUGGGGGAAUGGCCUACCAAGCCGACGAUCCAUAGCUGGUUGGAGAGGAUGAUCAUCCACGCUGGGACUGAGACACGGCCCAGACUCCUACGGGAGGCAGCAGUGGGGAAUAUUAGAGAAGGAGGGCAAACGUGAUCUUGCCACGCCGCGGGAGUGAUGAAGGCCUUAGGGUUGUAAAGCUCUCUGAGCUGGGAAGAUAAUGACGGUACCAGCAGAAGAAGCCCCGGCUAACUACGUG